CACGGUUGAGUGGAGGAAUCGAUUUUCUGAAACUGGAAACGUACACGCAAGGUUGUCAGAUCGAUUGGGGAUUUACGUCUGCAUAAGGGCGAACCCACGCACGUACCGGUUCGGCAGGAAGCAUUAGUUAAUUUCAGCAAUCCGUCCACAGCGUUGCCAGCUCAACAUCACGCAUCCGAGAAGGAGCUUCGAUGUGUCCUGGAGUUUCACCAGCAGCGUCACCGGUGACAUGUUUGGAAGUGGCGAGCGGUACAGUCAUGACUGGCAGCCAGGGCCACACUUUUAAAGUAUUCCGGCUAGAUAGCCACCUAUUGCAGUUCACCCUAAACGGCUAUUGCGGUCCUAUCACAUGUAUUUUCAUAGACCAGUGGCAGGCCGAGAUGGGCGCAUCUGGUUACCAGGAUGGUGUGCUAUGUGUGUGGGACUUGAUACGGGGUGCCUGUAUGUGCAAAAUUGAAGCGACAAAAUUGACGACUCAAUCGUCGCACUUGCCUGUUCCCCGAGUUACGCAAUAUCGCUUGGAC